rnacentral:lncRNA from 7 species
GGAGCGACAGCGGCGCCGGAGCCGCUCUCUCUGCUUCUGGGCGAGAGGAGAAAUAACCUCCAAAUGAAGAACUUAAUGAGGAGUGGGGAGGGGUGGCGGCUCCCGCCGCGCGUUUGCAGCGGGGUGAGCGGGAUCUGCAGGUUUUCUCACUGACAUCUCCUUCCCCUCUUGACUUCAGAAAUCCACCCAUUCUGCCACAGUUUUCCAGCAGAGUGGAAAAGAGUGUGGACUUUUCAGAACGCAAGAUUCAAAAUAAAUUUAAGACAGGGAUUAGCCAAAUGAUCUGGACAAGUCAUCUUCUCUAUCUUCUGGAGCAGCACAGCCCACAGGGUUUUAUCCAGGGAGCCCUUUUCAAGUCAAAAAAGGAGUGUUGGCCUGAAGAGGUAUUUUGGAAAGAUAUCUUCACCUGACAGUGGGCUUUCUCAGUCAUUUUACAAAUAAAACCUUCUGGAUUUUUGCACGUGUCUGAUUGUUUCAGCCUCCAGCUGUUAAUUCUUAUUUAUUUCUUUUGGAUAACAAUAUCAGUUGGAAACAAAUGUCUUCACCUGAAGGUCCUCCUUGUGUUAUAACCAAGUUAGCACCACGAUCUGCUUCUAAUGAAUUAAGUAGACUGAGUUUUUCCUGUCUCUCAGGUGGAUACCUUGACCAGAUGUGAUCUUCUACACAACAGAUGGCUGUACAGUACUACUCACCAUCAUCUCCCUUUGAAGGCAGUGCAGAGAAAUGAGCCCUUCCAGAGUGAAAUUCAUCUCAUCCUAAAGUGGAUGUUUGAAACAGACUAGAUGAAUGUCCCUCACAGCAUUUCUAUUUCUCUCUAGCAACAAUUGAGGAAGCCUGUGGUGACUACCUCUUGUGUCAAAGCCUGCAUUGUAGACCAGUGUAUUUAGGCAAGAUGGAUCAGUCUUUCCAGCUGUCAUUUUUCCAGCUUUGAAUCAUUUCCUCUGCACCUCACACAAAUGAGACUUUGAAACAUCUUGAGCAGAAGCAUGACUUUAAUAUCCACAUAAGAGGAUGCCUCACUGCUAAGUGCUGGGACUGCACACUGGGGCAGUUCACUGAAAACUUGGUGAGGGAGAUGCAGCUGGAUUUCAAUAUGCACGUUGUCCACAGUCUGUGUUUUGCAUUAAUUGUACUUUCUUAAUGAGGAGUAUGUAGUAAGAAUGAGAAAGCACCUUAAUAUUUAUGGUCCUCCUGGAAAAAAAGACUGUAUUAUGUAACUAUUAAUCUCAGUAUUUUUGUUCUAUAUGUUUUCCAUUUUUUUCUGAUAUUAACAUCCCCUGCAGCACCACAGCUCCUUUCAUCCAACUUGGUUUUUUAGCAUCAGCUGCUCAGCUGUCUCUAAUCACACCAGGCUCAGCCACUAGCCCAGCCAGACAGCUGCCAGAUUUUUCUUUUUUAAAUAAAUACAAACAUCUGUCAAGUU